rnacentral:rRNA from 1 species
GACGAACGCUGGCGGCGUGCUUAACACAUGCAAGUCGAACGGAAAGGCCCUGCUUUUGUGGGGUGCUCGAGUGGCGAACGGGUGAGUAACACGUGAGUAACCUGCCCUUGACUUUGGGAUAACUUCAGGAAACUGGGGCUAAUACCGGAUAGGAGCUCCUGCUGCAUGGUGGGGGUUGGAAAGUUUCGGCGGUUGGGGAUGGACUCGCGGCUUAUCAGCUAGUUGGUGGGGUAGUGGGUUACCAAGGCUUUGACGGGUAGCCGGCGUGAGAGGGUGAGCGGCCACACUGGAACUGAGACACGGUCGAGACUACUACGGGAGGCAGCAGUAGGGAAUCGUCCGCAAUGGGCGAAAGCUUGACGGAGCAACGCCGCGUGAGUGAUGACGGUCUUCGGAUCGUAAAACUCUGUUAUUAGGGAAGAAAAAAUGUGUAAGUAAAUAUGCACGUCGUGACGGUACCUAAUCAGAAAGCCACGGCUAACUACGUG